rnacentral:rRNA from 1 species
AUGAACGCUGGCGGCGUGCCUAAUCCAUGCAAGUCGAGCGAACGGACGAGAAGCUUGCUUCUCUGAUGUUAGCGGCGGACGGGUGAGUAACACGUGGAUAACCUACCUAUAAGACUGGGAUAACUUCGGGAAACCGUAGCUAAUACCGGAUAAUAUUUUGAACCGCAUGGUUCAAAAGUGAAAGACGGUCUUGCUGUCACUUAUAGAUGGAUCCGCGCUGCAUUAGCUAGUUGGUAAGGUAACGGCUUACCAAGGCAACGAUGCAUAGCCGACCUGAGAGGGUGAUCGGCCACACUGGAACUGAGACACGGUCCAGACUCCUACGGGAGGCAGCAGUAGGGAAUCUUCCGCAAUGGGCGAAAGCCUGACGGAGCAACGCCGCGUGAGUGAUGAAGGUCUUCGGAUCGUAAAACUCUGUUAUUAGGGAAGAACAUAUGUGUAAGUAACUGUGCACAUCUUGACGGUACCUAAUCAGAAAGCCACGGCUAACUACGUG